GAAAACUCGUUGAAGGAUCAAGUACACUGCAGCCCUUUUUACAGAGAGGCAAUCCCCACGGCUGAAAGGGAUGCUAGAAUGAAGAACAGUGGAAAGCUAGUCCGGAGUGCAGUUAAUUCCUGCCGUAUGCCGCGUUAAGGCGUUGAUUGAGGUGAUGAGUGGGUAUUUGCACUCAUAAUCAGGGUGGUACCGCGAGCAAACUCUCGUCCCUGUC
rnacentral:ncRNA from 1 species